CAGCUGCCAAGGGGGCCGCAGUGCGGGUCCCAUCUCAAUCAGCACAGCAUGAAAUGGCAGAGGCAAGAACACGGGGCGCUGGCAGCUGGGGGCAUAUUCCUGGAAUGGUGAGGAGCCGGAUGCCACUGGUACAUGAGGAGGGGGCCGGGACCAGCCCAUGAAGGGUCCGCAAGGCCAGGCUGAAAGAGUGGGGAGGGCCAGGGCUGGAAGUGGGAGUCCAUUAGAAGAUACCUUCUCGCUACGGCAGCAAUGCCAUGGAGGGAUGCUGUGCCAUCCUUCCCGCCUUCCGGCCGCCGAGAAGAUGCCAAGAUGCUACUGCAGGGCGGCCCGGGAAGCGGCUGAGCCGCAGCCGGUGGCCCAGUCAGUGGGGCUGCCAGGAGGGGAACAGCUGCCGCAGCCUGGCUCUCUGCCUUUGUCCCUCCUCCGUGACAAGGACGGUUCCAUGCCGUGCCCACAGACACGCCGACUCACACGCAUGCAGAGAGGCAGCGGCACACUUGCCAGUCCCUUCACUCCCUCGCUUGUGUCCAUCCAUCCCGUCAACACUGGUCACCACUGGCUGCCUACUGGGUGCUGGCCACUACUCUAGGCCCUGGGGCCACACUGAGGCCAGAAUUCCUGCCCUCAUAUAGCCUUUUUUUUUUUUCAGACGGAGUUUUGCUCUUGUUGCCCAGGGCUGGAGUGCAGUGGCACAAUCUCGGCUCACUGCAACCUCUGCCUCCCCGCUUCAAAUGAUCCUUCCGCCUCAGUCUCCUGAAUAGCUGGGAUUACAGGCGUCCACCACCACACCCGGCUAAUUUUUUGUAUUUUUAGAAGAGACGGGGCUUCAGCAUGUUGGCCAGGCUGGUCUCAAACUCCUGACCUCAAGUGAUCCUCCCGCCUUGGCCUCCCAAAGUGCUGGGAUUACAGGCGUGAGCCACUGCGCCCAGCCAUCAUACAGCUUAUAUUCUAGUUGGGGGAGACAGGCGAUAAGUAAAGAAGAAAAAUCAGUAAAUUAUGUAUGUCAGUAAGUGGAAAGGAAAAAAUAAAACAAGGGAAUGGCGAUGAGGUGUGAAGCAGGGGAGGCUGAAGCUACAGGGUCAGGGAAGGCUCGCUUCUCUCUAGGAGGGGACCCUGGCGUAAAAAGCCGAAGGAAGUGAGGGAGCGAGUCCCGUGGCCAUCGGGGGUGGGACUCCCCGGGCAGAGGGAAGCGAAGUCUGAAGGCUCUGGGGCAGCCCCUUCCAUGGCACGUGGCCAGAGACGAGUGCAUGAUGGCGGGACGGUGCACGAGCCCCGCAGAAAAACAGGGCGGGUGGUGGGGCACAGGCUGGAGGUCUGAUUCUGAGGGACACAGCAGCCCGAGUGAGAAGCAGGCUCUGAGCUGGGAGGUGACACACUCAUGCCACUGGGACCAUGCUGGGUGCUGAGUUGAGCAUUGACCAGGGGGACAGGGAGUGAGAGUAGAAGCAAGGGACAGCGUGGGAGGUUGUUCCAGUGGUCUGAGAGAGAGGAGAUGGUGGCUAAGAUCAGGCAAGUGGUCAUGGGGACCCCGUGGGAGUUGCCUGGUUCCAGCGACCCCACAGAGUCAAGUAAGCAUAGGGGGCAGGGAUUGAGCCAGCUGGUCCCAGCUGGGCCGGGACCCUGCAGAGGGGGAUAAAGUGCAAGGCCAGGCCCCGCCAACGGCAGUGGCCCUGGCUCUCCUCCUGGCCUUGUGCUUGCCCUGACUCACUUGACUGUCAGGCAGGGGCAGGGCAGGGCUCUCAGUGGCCCCAGGUGGCCACGGGGGACUAUGUGAAUCACUUCCAAGUGCCAACACAGAAGCUGAGCAGAGGAAGAGGAGCAAAACCGAAAUGUGAGCGGGCACUAGGGGAGACACAGGCACUGUCUAAUGGAUACGCAGGAUCUGGGGGAGAUGCAGGCACCGUCUAACUGAUACGCGGGCUCUGGGGGAGAAGCAGGCGCCGUCUAACUGAUACACAGGAUCUGGGGGAGAAGCAGGCGCCGUCUAACUGAUACGUGGGCUCUGGGGGAGAAGCAGGCGCCGUCUAACUGAUACGUGGGCUCUGGGGGAGAAGCAGGCGCCGUCUAACUGAUACGUGGGCUCUGGGGGAGAAGCAGGCGCCGUCUAACUGAUACGUGGGCACGGGGGAGAUGCAGGCACCGUCUAACUGAUACACAGGAUCUGGGGGAGACGCAGGCACUGCCUGAUUGAUACGCGGGCGCUGGGGGAGACGCAGGCCCAUCUAACUGAUAUGUGGGCUCUGGGGGAGACACAGGUGCUGCCUAACUGAUACGUGGGCUCUGGGGGAGACGCAGGCGCCGCCUAACUGAUACGUGGGCUUUGGGGCCACUCCUCCAAUCCAAAGGCUGCCCAGGCCGUUCCCCUGCCUUGUCCUCGGCACCUUGUGCAGUGCCUGGAGAACGGAAGCUCAGUAACUGUCUGGACGGAAUGAAAUGCUUCUUCCAGUCACGGUGACUGCUGCCGCUGAGCAAGGGCCAUCUAUUUCUUUCUUUUUUUUUUUGAGAUGGAGUCUCGUUCUGUCAACCAGGCUGGAGUGCAAUGGCGUGAUCUUGGCUCACUACAACCUCCACCUCCCAGGUUCAAGCGAUUCUCCUGCCUCGGCCUCCCCAGUAGCUGGGACUACAGGUGCCCACCACUGCGCCCGGCUAAUUUUUUUGUAUUUUUAGUAGAGGUGGGGUUUCGCCGUAUUAGCCAGGAUGGUCUCGAUCUCCUGACCUCGUGAUCCACCCGCC
rnacentral:lncRNA from 1 species